rnacentral:rRNA from 1 species
CUGCUGCCUCCCGUAGGAGUUUGGGCCGUGUCUCAGUCCCAAUGUGGCCGUUCACCCUCUCAGGCCGGCUACUGAUCGUCGCUUUGGUAGGCCGUUACCCUGCCAACUGGCUAAUCAGACGCGGGUCCAUCUCACACCGAUAAAUCUUUUCCAACCAGAGCAUGCGCCCCUGUUGGCUUAUGCGGUAUUAGCGGUCGUUUCCAACUGUUAUCCCCCUGUGUGAGGCAGGUUACCCACGCGUUACUCACCCGUCCGCCACU